AUUGAACGCUGGCGGCAGGCUUAACACAUGCAAGUCGAGCGGAGAUGAGGUGCUUGCACCUUAUCUUAGCGGCGGACGGGUGAGUAAUGCUUAGGAAUCUGCCUAUUAGUGGGGGACAACAUUCCGAAAGGAAUGCUGAUACCGCAUACGUCCUACGGGAGAAAGCAGGGGAUCUUCGGACCUUGCGCUAAUAGAUGAGCCUAAGUCGGAUUGGCUAGUUGGUGGGGUAAAGGCCUACCAAGGCGACGAUCUGUAGCGGGUCUGAGAGGAUGAUCCGCCACACUGGGACUGAGACACGGCCCAGACUUCUACGGGAGGCAGCAGUGGGGAAUAUUGGACAAUGGGGGGAACCCUGAUCCAGCCAUGCCGCGUGUGUGAAGAAGGCCUUAUGGUUGUAAAGCACUUUAAGCGAGGAGGAGGCUACAGAGACUAAUACUCUUGGAUAGUGGACGUUACUCGCAGAAUAAGCACCGGCUAACUCUGUGCCAGCAGCCGCGGUAACAC
rnacentral:rRNA from 1 species